AUUGAACGCUGGCGGCAGGCUUAACACAUGCAAGUCGAGCGGGGGAAGGUAGCUUGCUACCGGACCUAGCGGCGGACGGGUGAGUAAUGCUUAGGAAUCUGCCUAUUAGUGGGGGACAACAUCUCGAAAGGGAUGCUAAUACCGCAUACGUCCUACGGGAGAAAGCAGGGGAUCUUCGGACCUUGCGCUAAUAGAUGAGCCUAAGUCGGAUUAGCUAGUUGGUGGGGUAAAGGCCUACCAAGGCGACGAUCUGUAGCGGGUCUGAGAGGAUGAUCCGCCACACUGGGAUUGAGACACGGCCCAGACUCCUACGGGAGGCAGCAGUGGGGAAUAUUGGACAAUGGGGGGAACCCUGAUCCAGCCAUGCCGCGUGUGUGAAGAAGGCCUUAUGGUUGUAAAGCACUUUAAGCGAGGAGGAGGCUACUCUAGUUAAUACCUGGGGAUAGUGGACGUUACUCGCAGAAUAAGCACCGGCUAACUCUGUGCCAGCCGCCGCAGUAACAC
rnacentral:rRNA from 1 species